GAUGAACGCUAGCUACAGGCUUAACACAUGCAAGUCGAGGGGAAACGAUAGAGAAAGCUUGCUUUUUCUAGGCGUCGACCGGCGCACGGGUGAGUAACGCGUAUCCAACCUGCCCAUCACUUGGGGAUAACCUUGCGAAAGUAAGACUAAUACCCAAUGACGUCUCUAGAAGACAUCUGAAAGAGAUUAAAGAUUUAUCGGUGAUGGAUGGGGAUGCGUCUGAUUAGCUUGUUGGCGGGGUAACGGCCCACCAAGGCGACGAUCAGUAGGGGUUCUGAGAGGAAGGUCCCCCACAUUGGAACUGAGACACGGUCCAAACUCCUACGGGAGGCAGCAGUGAGGAAUAUUGGUCAAUGGGCGAGAGCCUGAACCAGCCAAGUAGCGUGCAGGAUGACGGCCCUAUGGGUUGUAAACUGCUUUUAUAAGGGAAUAAAGUGAGAGUCGUGACUCUUUUUGCAUGUACCUUAUGAAUAAGGACCGGCUAAUUCCGUGCCAGCAGCCGCAGUAACAC
rnacentral:rRNA from 1 species